UGGGGAAUUUUGGACAAUGGGGGAAACCCUCAUCCAGCCAUCCCGCGUGUGCGAUGAAGGCCUUCGGGUUGUAAAGCACUUUUGGCAGGAAAGAAACGUCAUGGGUUAAUACCCCGUGAAACUGACGGUACCUGCAGAAUAAGCACCGGCUAACUACGUGCCAGCAGCCGCGGUAAUACGUAGGGUGCAAGCGUUAAUCGGAAUUACUGGGCGUAAAGCGUGCGCAGGCGGUUCGGAAAGAAAGAUGUGAAAUCCCAGAGCUCAACUUUGGAACUGCAUUUUUAACUACCGGGCUAGGGUGUGUCAGAGGGAGGUGGAAUUCCGCGUGUAGCAGUGAAAUGCGUAGAUAUGCGGAGGAACACCGAUGGCGAAGGCAGCCUCCUGGGAUAACACUGACGCUCAUGCACGAAAGCGUGGGGAGCAAACAGG
rnacentral:rRNA from 1 species